GUGCUGAUUUUGGCAACACUUAUACUAAAAUUGAAACGAUACAGAGAAGAUUAGCAUGGCCCUGGGCAAGAAUGACACACAAGUUCGUGUUCUAUAUUUUU
ensembl:snRNA U6 U6 spliceosomal RNA